AGUGAACGCUGGCGGUAGGCCUAACACAUGCCAGUCGAACGGCAGCACAGUAAGAGCUUGCUCUUACGGGUGGCGAGUGGCGGACGAGUGAGCAAUACAUCGGAAUCUACUUUUUCGUGGGGGAUAACGUAGGGAAACUUACGCUAAUACCGCAUACGACCUACGGGUGAAAGCAGGGGAUCUUCGGACCUUGCGCGAUUGAAUGAGCCGAUGUCGGAUUAGCUAGUUGGCGGGGUAAAGGCCCACCAAGGCGACGAUCCGUAGCUGGUCUGAGAGGAUGAUCAGCCACACUGGAACUGAGACACGGUCCAGACUCCUACGGGAGGCAGCAGUGGGGAAUAUUGGACAAUGGGCGCAAGCCUGAUCCAGCCAUACCGCGUGGGUGAAGAAGGCCUUCGGGUUGUAAAGCCCUUUUGUUGGGAAAGAAAAGCAGCAGGUUAAUACCCCGCUGUUCUGACGGUACCCAAAGAAUAAGCACCGGCUAACUUCGUG
rnacentral:rRNA from 1 species